ACCAGGGAAAGGAUUAUAUUGCAGCCGUAUUAGUACCAUCUAAAUGCUGUUUCAACUUUCUCCUUUCAGCCAUACUGGUUGUGCUGGCAGGGACUUGAUGCUUCCAACACAAGAGCAAGAGCCAAGCGAAUUUAUCAUCAGAUUGAAUUUGUUUGUGUUUGAAUUAGUCUCAGAUCUGGCCAUGAAAAAUUAUUGCCUUUACACCUCUGCUGUUGUUCCAGAUGUUCCAGGGCUUGUAGGGUGUUAUGCUGCUGAUUCAGCCCUGGCCCUAACACUGGGAAAUGAUGGCCAACCAACCUUUGGAAGUCCAUCCCCAAGUCAACUGUUAAUAGAGGCAUUUGCAUUUGGAAAGGGAACAAUGAGUUGAUCCAUAGCAGUGGCUCUUAAAUAACAGAAUACCAGGAACCCAAGGGACUACACUUGUUGCUGAUGCCAAUGAAGGUACUAAACAAGAACCGUGACCCUACUGCUACUUCUGUGGCUUCUACUGCCCUCUUGCCUUCUAAUACUCCAUGAAGGUCUCCUAUUGACAGAACCUCCCUUGAGAUCAAUGGAAAAGAGGGUCUGGGAAAUGUACCACCAGUAGAAAGAAAUCCCUGGUAACUUGUCAAUGGCACCGCUACUGCAGAGAAGAUAAAAACCUAGGUAUGUUCCUUUAAUGCUUGGAUUUGUGCAGGUAAUUGGAUUUCUUCUUUCUUGAGGGGACACAAUUAGAAAGACAUGUCUCUGGUCCUUUCCCUUGAAGAGUCUAGA